AUUGAACGCUGGCGGCAGGCCUAACACAUGCAAGUCGAGCGGAUGAAGGGAGCUUGCUCCUGGAUUCAGCGGCGGACGGGUGAGUAAUGCCUAGGAAUCUGCCUGGUAGUGGGGGAUAACGUCCUGAAACGGGCGCUAAUACCGCAUACGUCCUGAGCGAGAAAGUUGGGGAUCUUCGGACCGCACGCUAUCAGAUGAGCCUAGGUCUGAUUAGGUAGUUGGUGGGUUAAAGGCCUACCAAGGCGACGAUCCGUAACUGGUCUGAGAGGAUGAUCAGGCACACUGGAACUGAGACACGGUCCAGACUCCUACGAGAGGCAGCAGUGGGGAAUAUUGGACCAUGGGCGAAAGUCUGAUCCAGCCAUGACGCGUGUGAAGAAGGUCUUCGGAUUGUAAAGCACUUUAAGUUGGGAGGAAGGGCAGUAAGUUAAUACCUUGCUGUUUUGACGUUACCAACAGAAUAAGCACCGGCUAACUUCGUG
rnacentral:rRNA from 1 species